rnacentral:rRNA from 1 species
GACGAACGCUGGCGGCGUGCUUAACACAUGCAAGUCGAACGGAAAGGCCCUGCUUUUGUGGGGUGCUCGAGUGGCGAACGGGUGAGUAACACGUGAGUAACCUGCCCUUGACUUUGGGAUAACUUCAGGAAACUGGGGCUAAUACCGGAUAGGAGCUCCUGCUGCAUGGUGGGGGUUGGAAAGUUUCGGCGGUUGGGGAUGGACUCGCGGCUUAUCAGCUUGUUGGUGGGGUAGUGGCUUACCAAGGCUUCGACGGGUAGCCGGCCUGGGAGGGUGACCGGCCACAUUGGGACUGAGAUACGGCCCAGACUCCUACGGGAGGCAGCAGUGGGGAAUAUUGCACAAUGGGCGGAAGCCUGAUGCAGCAACGCCGCGUGCGGGAUGACGGCCUUCGGGUUGUAAACCGCUUUCGCCUGUGACGAAGCGUGAGUGACGGUAAUGGGUAAAGAAGCACCGGCUAACUACGUG